CCUACGGGAGGCAGCAGUGGGGAAUAUUGCGCAAUGGGCGAAAGCCUGACGCAGCGCCGCCGCGUGAGGGAUGAAGGUCUUCGGAUCGUAAACCUCUGUCAGCAGGGAAGAACGGUCACUGUGCUAAUCAGCAGUGAAUUGACUGUAGCGUCUCAAGAAGCACCGGCACACUUCGUGCCAGCAGCCGCGGUAAUACGAAGGGUGCGAGCGUUGUUCGGAAUUACUGGGCGUAAAGGGAGUGUAGGCGGAUAUGUAAGAUAGCGGUGAAAUGCCGGGGCUCAACCCCGGAACUGCCAUUAUGACUAUGUAUCUAGAGUAAUGGAGAGGAUAGCGGAAUAGCCAGUGUAGAGGUGAAAUUCGUAGAUAUUGGGUAGAACACCGGUGGCGAAGGCGGCUAUCUGGCCAUUUACUGACGCUGAGGCUCGAAAGCAUGGGGAUCAAACAGGAUUAGAUACCCUUGUAGUC
rnacentral:rRNA from 1 species